UACAGAGGUCUCAAGCGUUGUUCGGAAUCACUGGGCGUAAAGGGUGCGUAGCCGCACGGUAAGUCAGGUGUGAAAGCCCGGAGCUCAACUUCGGAAUUGCACCCGAUACUGCCGUGCUUGAGGACUGGAGAGGAGUCUGGAAUUCACAGUGGAGACAGUGAAAUGCGUAGAUAUUGUGAGGAACACUAGUGGCGAAGGCGAGACU
rnacentral:rRNA from 1 species